UACAGAGGGUGCGAGCGUUAAUCGGAAUUACUGGGCGUAAAGCGCGCGUAGGCGGCUAUACAAGUCGAGUGUGAAAUCCCCGGGCUCAACCUGGGAACUGCAUUCGAGACUGUAUGGCUUGAGUAUGGGAGAGGGAGGCGGAAUUUCAGGUGUAGCGGUGAAAUGCGUAGAUAUCUGAAGGAACAUCAGUGGCGAAAGCGGCCUCCUGGACCAAUACUGACGCUCAUGUGCGAAAGCGUGGGGAGCAAAC
rnacentral:rRNA from 1 species